UAGCGGAGGAAAAGAAACCAACAGGGAUUGCCCUAGUAACGGCGAGUGAAGCGGCAACAGCUCAAAUUUGAAAGCUAGCCUUCGGGUUCGCAUUGUAAUUUGUAGAGGAUGAUUUGGGGAAGCCGCCUGUCUAAGUUCCUUGGAACAGGACGUCAUAGAGGGUGAGAAUCCCGUAUGUGACAGGAAAUGGCACCCUAUGUAAAUCUCCUUCGACGAGUCGAGUUGUUUGGGAAUGCAGCUCUAAAUGGGAGGUAAAUUUCUUCUAAAGCUAAAUAUUGGCGAGAGACCGAUAGCGCACAAGUAGAGUGAUCGAAAGAUGAAAAGCACUUUGGAAAGAGAGUUAAAAAGCACGUGAAAUUGUUGAAAGGGAAGCGCUUGCAAUCAGACUUGUUUAAACUGUUCGGCCGGUCUUCUGACCGGUUUACUCAGUUUGGACAGGCCAGCAUCAGUUUCGGCGGCCGGAUAAAGGCUCUGGGAAUGUGGCCUCCACUUCGGUGGAGGUGUUAUAGCCCAGGGUGUAAUACGGCCAGCCGGGACUGAGGUCCGCGCU
rnacentral:rRNA from 1 species